rnacentral:rRNA from 1 species
UACGUAGGGUGCAAGCGUUAAUCGGAAUUACUGGGCGUAAAGCGUGCGCAGGCGGUUGUGCAAGACAGAUGUGAAAUCCCCGGGCUCAACCUGGGAAUUGCAUUUGUGACUGCACGGCUAGAGUGUGUCAGAGGGGGGUAGAAUUCCACGUGUAGCAGUGAAAUGCGUAGAUAUGUGGAGGAAUACCGAUGGCGAAGGCAGCCCCCCUGGGAUAACACUGACGCUCAUGCACGAAAGCGUGGGGGAGCAAACAGG